rnacentral:rRNA from 1 species
UACGUAGGGGGCAAGCGUUGUCCGGAAUCAUUGGGCGUAAAGAGCGUGUAGGCGGCCCGGUAAGUCCGCUGUGAAAGUCCAGGGCUCAACCCUGGGAUGCCGGUGGAUACUGUCGGGCUCGAGUCCGGAAGAGGCGAGUGGAAUUCCCGGUGUAGCGGUGAAAUGCGCAGAUAUCGGGAGGAACACCGAUGGCGAAGGCAGCUCGCUGGGACGUUACUGACGCUGAGACGCGAAAGCGUGGGGAGCAAACAGG